AUGCGUGGAGGAUCUCGUCCUGGUAUACCACAUCACCGCGGCAACCAAAUGGCCCAAGGAACUCCGCCCGCUCCUGCAGGAGAAGAAGCUGUACACCUUUGUUGGCUUCUCCAUUGGAGGCGACAAGGAGAAGCUGAAGUUGUCUGGUUUAGAGAUCAACCCCGACAACCUCAUCCACCCAUCCUACAAGGAAAUGAAGCAGAAGAUCGACAGGAAAUCGGACCACCUACUAUGGGGGGACAGCCCACUGCCAAACAAGCUCAUCGAGUACGCCGCGAAAGAUGCGUACGUCACCUACGAGGCAUGGAAGAAAAUCGAAAUCACCAAAGAAGGUUUGGAGCUCUGGCAAGAGGUGGAGGAUCAUUGGGAUGA
rnacentral:rRNA from 1 species